CUGGAGACAGAGCUUUCCCUUCGGGGACAAAGUGACAGGUGGUGCAUGGUUGUCGUCAGCUCGUGUCGUGAGAUGUUGGGUUAAGUCCCGCAACGAGCGCAACCCUUGAUUUUAGUUGCCAGCAUUUAGUUGGGCACUCUAAAGUGACUGCCGGUGCAAGCCGGAGGAAGGUGGGGAUGACGUCAAAUCAUCAUGCCCCUUAUGACCUGGGCUACACACGUGCUACAAUGGAUAGUACAAAGGGUCGCGAAGCCGCGAGGUGGAGCUAAUCCCAUAAAACUAUUCUCAGUUCGGAUUGUAGGCUGCAACUCGCCUACAUGAAGCCGGAAUCGCUAGUAAUCGUGGAUCAGCAUGCCACGGUGAAUACGUUCCCGGGCCUUGUACACACCGCCCGUCACACCACGAGAGUUUGUAACACCCGAAGUCGGUAGGGUAACCUUUAUGGAGCCAGCCGCCGAAGGUGGGACAGAUAAUUGGGGUGAAGUCGUAACAAGGUAGCCGUAUCGGAAGGUGCGGCUGGAUCACCUCCUUU
rnacentral:rRNA from 1 species